rnacentral:rRNA from 1 species
UAAUGGCCUACCAAGACGAUGAUGUGUAGCCGGGCUGAGAGGUCGAACGGCCACAUUGGGACUGAGACACGGCCCAAACUCCUACGGGAGGCAGCAGUAAGGAAUUUUCGGCAAUGGAGGAAACUCUGACCGAGCAAUGCCGCGUGAACGAUGAAGUAUUUCGGUACGUAAAGUUCUUUUAUUAGGGAAGAAAAGAUGGUGGAAAAACCAUUAUGACGGUACCUAAUGAAUAAGCCCCGGCUAACUAUGUGCCAGCAGCCGCGGUAAUACAUAGGGGGCAAGCGUUAUCCGGAAUUAUUGGGCGUAAAGGGUGCGUAGGCGGUUAAAUAAGUUUAUGGUCUAAGUGCAACGCUCAACGUUGUGAUGCUAUAAAAACUGUUUAGCUAGAGUUGGAUAGAGGCAAGUGGAAUUCCGUGUGUAGUGGUAAAAUGCGUAAAUAUACGGAGGAACACCAGAAGCGAAGGCGGCUUGCUGGGUCUUAACUGACGCUGAGGCACGAAAGCGUGGGGAGCAAACAGGAUUAGAUACCCUGGUAGUCCACGCCCUAAACGAUGAGUACUAAACGUUGGAUAAAACCAGUGUUGAAGUUAACACAUUAAGUACUCCGCCUGAGUAGUACGUACGCAAGUAUGAAACUUAAAGGAAUUGACGGGACUCCGCACAAGCGGUGGAUCAUGUUGUUUAAUUCGAAGGUACCCGAAAAACCUCACCAGGUCUUGACAUGCUUUUGCAAAGCUGUAGAAAUACAGUGGAGGUUAUCAGAAGCACAGGUGGUGCAUGGUUGUCGUCAGCUCGUGUCGUGAGAUGUUGGGUUAAGUCCCGCAACGAGCGCAACCCUUGUUGUUAAUUGCCAUCAUUAAGUUGGGGACUUUAGCAAGACUGCCAAUGAUAAAUUGGAGGAAGGUGGGGACGACGUCAAAUCAUCAUGCCCCUUAUGACCUGGGCUACAAACGUGAUACAAUGGCUGUUACAAAGGGUAGCUAAAGCGUAAGCUUUUGGCGAAUCUCAAAAAAGCAGUCUCAGUUCGGAUUGAAGUCUGCAACUCGACUUCAUGAAGUUGGA